GAUGAACGCUAGCGGCAGGCCUAAUACAUGCAAGUCGAACGGUGUCUUCGGACAUAGUGGCGCACGGGUGCGUAACACGUAUGCAACCUACCUUACAUUGGGGGAUAGCCUUUCGAAAGGGAGAUUAAUACCGCAUAAGACAGUAGCUGGGCAUCCAGCAGCUGUUAAAGAUUUAUCGAUGUAAGCUGGGCAUGCGUCCAAUUAGCUAGUUGGUGAGGUAACGGCUCAACAAGGCAAUGAUUGGUAGGGGAACUGAGAGGUCAAUCCCCCACACUGGCACUGAGAUACGGGCCAGACUCCUACGGGAGGCAGCAGUAGGGAAUAUUGGGCAAUGGACGCAAGUCUGACCCAGCCAUGCCGCGUGCAGGAUGAAGGCGUUAUGCGUUGUAAACCGCUUUUAUACAGGAAGAAACGACUCUUGCGAGAGGCAUUGACGGUACUGUAUGAAUAAGCACCGGCUAACUCCGUGCCAGCCGCCGCCGUAAGAC
rnacentral:rRNA from 1 species